AGAGUUUGAUCCUGGCUCAGAAUCAACGCUGGCGGCGCGCCUAACACAUGCAAGUCGAACGAGAAAGUGGAGCAAUCCAUGAGUACAGUGGCGUACGGGUAAGUAACACGUGGGUAAUCUACCUCUUUGUGGGGAAUAACUCUGGGAAACCGGAGCUAAUACCGCAUAAGCUCGAGAGAGGAAAGUCGCAAGACGCUGAGAGAGGAGCCCGCGGCCGAUUAGCUAGUUGGCAGGGUAACAGCCUACCAAGGCAAAGAUCGGUAGCCGGCCUGAGAGGGCACACGGCCACACUGGCACUGAAACACGGGCCAGACUCCUACGGGAGGCAGCAGUGGGGAAUCUUGCACAAUGGGGGAAACCCUGAUGCAGCGACGCCGCGUGAGCGAUGAAGCCCUUCGGGGUGUAAAGCUCUUUCGUCAGGGAAGAUGAUGACGGUACCUGGAGAAGCAGCUGCGGCUAACUACGUGCCAGCAGCCGCGGUAAUACGUAGGCAGCGAGCGUUGUUCGGAGUUACUGGGCGUAAAGGGUGUGUAGGCGGUUGUUUAAGUUUGGUGUGAAAUCUCCCGGCUCAACUGGGAGGGUGCGCCGAAUACUGAGCGACUCGAGUGCGGGAGAGGAAAGUGGAAUUCCUGGUGUAGCGGUGAAAUGCGUAGAUAUCAGGAGGGACACCGGUGGUGUAGACGGCUUUCUGGACCGUAACUGACGCUGAGACACGAAAGCGUGGGUAGCAAACAGGAUUAGAUACCCUGGUAGUCCACGCCCUAAACGAUGCAUAUUUGGUGUGGGCAGUUCAUUCUGUCCGUGCCGGAGCUAACGCGUUAAAUAUGCCGCCUGGGGAGUACAGUCGCAAGGCUGAAACUCAAGGAAUUGACGGGGGCCCGCACAAGCGGUGGAGCAUGUGGUUCAAUUCGACGCAACGCGAAGAACCUUACCUGGGCUCGAACGGCUUCUCAACGGCUGUGGACU
rnacentral:rRNA from 1 species